rnacentral:rRNA from 1 species
GACGAAGGUGGCAAGCGUUGUUCGGAAUCACUGGGCUUAAAGAGCACGUAGGCGGCCCUUCAAGUGCCUUGUGAAAUCCCCCGGCUCAACCGGGGAAUUGCAUGGCAGACUGCAGGGCUUGAGGCAGGUAGGGGCGAGUGGAACUCUUGGUGGAGCGGUGGAAUGCGUAGAUAUCAAGAGGAACGCCGGUGGUGAAGACGACUCGCUGGGCCUGUCCUGACGCUGAGGUGCGAAAGCCAGGGGAGCAAACGGG